GGAGCCCAGCUGGGCUGGAGGGGGCAGGGGAGACCAGAGAGGGGAGGUGACAAGGCCCAAGCCACCAGGGGCUGGAGGCAGUCCCUCCCCCACCCCCUUGGUGUCGACUUCAGGAAAGCGGUUCCCCAGGCGCCAGGAGCUGCGGAGGAGGCCGGCCAGCCGGAAGGGGGACAAUUAAAUCCAGGGGAGAAAGAAGGACCUGUUGCGGGCAGGACGGCUCUGCUCUGCAAGCUCAUCACACAGACCAGAGACCAACGCUUAGGGAGCAGCUUGUGUGUCCCCUGGGACGAUCAGAAAAGGCCUCUUGAGGACUGAGCACCAGAAGAGUGGGGCUGAGCAUUUGGCAGAGGUCACAGCUUGUGCAAAGGCACUGGGGCGGGAAGGUGCUAGUAUCUUCAAGAAACAGGCAGAAGGUUAGCGAGGCAUGAAAGGAGCAGGGGCUGGUGGCAGGAAGGGCCUGGCAGCGCCCUCAGGCACCACCACCAGCCUGUCAGGAGGCAUUUAGACCUUGAUCCCGUCCCAACAGGCUUUAAGCCCUGUGGUUUACAAUCCCUUUUCGGAAUUGCGCACUGGUUGAUAGGUUAGACAUGGGGUCGGGGCAGGAGAGGGCUCAGCAGAAGCCCGGGUUUCUGGGCACCUGGGCUGACAUGGGUGCGUUGGGGCAGGGCAGGUAUGGUGGUGGGUGAUGUGGAUUAAGGCUGCCCCAGCUAGAGAAGCCCAAGGUGACCUGGCCUACAUGCCAAACUAUACGACCCAGUGGACUUUUUUUAUGGUAUGAAUUAGGGCUGCCCCAGGGAGAGAAGCCCAGGGCAUCCUCACCUACAUGCCGAACAAUAUGGCCAGAUUCGUAUCUAAAGUUAUAUGACUGCACAAUAACCAGACCCCAUCUGCACUGAAAUCAUUUAAUGACUUUUUACAUCAUCUUUUCUUUUCUCCAGUAAAAAUAAGUCACGUACCCAUGCCUUAUAAAAUUAGCCCUAUCUCUCAACUCAGGGCAGCAGCAGGAGCUCUGACUGCCCGUGGGUCCUGUCCCCA
rnacentral:lncRNA from 1 species